rnacentral:lncRNA from 1 species
CUAUAGCCUUAUGCAACUCCUGAUAUCAACCCUCUUGAGUUAAUAUUACGCUCUAUUCUGGUGUUCCAUUUGAUGCUGGAUAUCACCUAGACACACCUGACUCCUUGGUGUGAUCAAACUUUUCUUAUUCUACAUUCCAUUUGCUGGGUACUGUUUUUUAAUGAGGCGACAGAGCCCUCCAAAGCAGCUCCAGAACGUUUGUCUUUUCUAUCUAGAGAUGUGAGGUCAGCAAGGCAGGGGAAGGCAAGACAGAUAAACACAGAGGAAUGCGCAAGAUCGUCUCGGCAACGCCUCACCAAUGAGGUUGCCAAAGUACUGCCGCAGGAUGUCCUUGAAAACGCGACUGUGCUUGAGGUAACCUUUGAGAAUGAGUGUGUGCUGCCAAUGCAACAUAAUG